rnacentral:rRNA from 1 species
UACAGAGGUCUCAACCGUUGUUCGGAUUCAUUGGGCGUAAAGGGCGCGUAGGCGGUCGCGCAAGUCGGAUGUGAAAUCUCGGGGCUCAACCCCGAAACUGCAUUCGAUACUGCGUGGCUAGAGUGCUGGAGGGGAGACUGGAAUUUACGGUGUAGCAGUGAAAUGCGUAGAUAUCGUAAGGAAGACCAGUGGCGAAGGCGAGUCUCUGGACAGCAACUGACGCUGAGGCACGAAGGCCAGGGGAGCAAACGGG